GGGCCUCUGGCGCAACGGUAGCGCGUUGUAAGUACCAACUUAUCAAGACUUGUCAAGUCUCUCUGUUCUAACAAAUUAUCACAGCGACUCCAGAUCGAAAGGUUAUCCGUUCAAAUCGGGUGGGGCUCA